rnacentral:rRNA from 1 species
GACGAACCGUCCAAACGUUAUUCGGAAUUACUGGGCUUAAAGGGUGCGUAGGCGGCGCGGAAAGUUGGGUGUGAAAGCCCCCGGCUCAACCGGGGAACUGCGCUUGAAACCGAGUGGCUCGAGUCAGCUAGAGGUACACGGAACUUCCAGUGGAGCGGUGAAAUGUGUUGAUAUUGGAAGGAACACCGGAGGCGAAAGCGGUGUACUGGGGCUGGUCUGACGCUGAGGCACGAAAGCCAGGGGAGCGAACGGGG